CGGCCGAAGUGCCACCAUCAUCAUCAUCCGCAGCAGCAGCAUCAUCAUCAUCACCACCAUCACGCGUCUCCCGUGUCCUGCAAUUCAUCAGCCCAAAUCAGCGGCCGCGAUCAUCGCUGCUCCUCCCCAUCCCCUUCCAAACCCACAUCUAGGGCUCUAGUUAGGGUUUCAUCCGCUUGCCGUACUUCGCCGGCCGCCGCCGCCGCGGUUACCCUCGGCCGCCCACCUUCUCCAGUCGCGAUGUCGUCGAACGCGAACCCUGAGGACCUCGGCAUGUACGGCCACGACAACGCGGCCGCCGACGCCAGCGGCGGCCAAGGAGCCAUAGAGGGCGCCACCGGUGGGGAGAAAAUGGGCGUGUCCCUUAUCCCGACGUCGGAUCAGGAUCAUCUCGCGGAGGCUAUGGAUGCAGCGGCGCCGCUGAUGAGUGUAACCUCGAACCAGCUCACGCUGUUGUUCCAGGGCGAAGUGUACGUCUUCGACUCUGUCUCGCCCGAGAAGGUGCAAGCUGUGCUGUUACUGCUGGGAGGAUGUGAAGUACCUACUGGCGCAGCUGGCAUGACAUUAUCCGGUCAGCAGGAUGAUAGGGGUUAUGAUGAUUUACUUCAUCGAACAAAUAUUCCUGCAAAAAGGAUUGCUUCGUUGAUAAGGUUUCGCGAGAAGCGUAAAGAAAGGAAUUUUGAUAAGAAAAUCCGGUAUAAUGUCCGCAAAGAGGUUGCCCUCAGGAUGCAGCGCCGAAAAGGGCAGUUUGCAGGGAAGGCUAUUACCCAGGAAGGAGCAUUGGCCUCUUCAAGCGGUGAUCCUCUUCAAAGCUCAAUCCAAGAAGAUCCUCCUAGGGAAUCAAAAUGUCAAAAUUGUGGAAUUAGUGAAAAAAUGACACCAGCAAUGCGGCGUGGACCUGCUGGACCAAGGUCACUUUGCAAUGCUUGCGGACUAAUGUGGGCAAACAAGGGUACUCUAAGAAGUCCUUCAAGGGCCAAAAUAGGUACUCCUAGCACUGCCAACCCAAGGUCAAGCAAUUGACUCGGAAUUGAUUAGCGACAACAAAUUACAUGUCCAUACACCCAGCAAUCAUGAUGCUAUUGUGUCCAACUCUGAGAUAGUCGGGGACGGUACGACGGCAGAUGUACAGCAGGCAGACACAGUAGGACUGAAGACUGAAUUGCGAGAAGUAUAAAUGUGUUGAAUAACAAAAUUGACGGCCUACUCUGCGAGUCUGUAGGUAUGUUUUGACCUUAUAAUCGAUGAUAUAGGAGGCUGCGCAUGCAUGCAGAUUAGUAGUGCACGUGGGAUGUAUUACCUGUCACCGGUGAGUCUGUUUUGGAAGGUCCGGCAGUUUAACGGCAUCCAUAUCGUGCAUUGUUCGAUUGUUCCAUAUGAACUCCAAUCUUGAUGUGUGUAGUUAUGAGUUUUUUCGAAUCUAGAAGUUCUUCAUGCCAUAGAGAUGAGCUGGAAACACUUUCCCUUUAUAAUAUUGCUCUGAUUACUUGUGGUGAA